GUGUUUCUGAAAGCAGAAGGAAGGAAGUGGGUCUUACUGAAGGAACUGUUUCCAGCCAGCAAAGUGAACUUUAACCACACAUGAAUCAGUCAUUCUGCAGUUUAAAGCUGUGACUUUACUGAGACAGACCUACAAAAAAGAAUUUAAAGUUUAGUUUAUUUUAUUUAUCUUUUCCAAUGUGUUUUUCUCUUUAUAUUUUUCACUAACUUUAAAAAGAAAUAGAGUGGUAUUACUGUGAAAAGAUCAUCAAUUAAAAACAGAUCAAUGAGGACUGGAGCAUCAUAUUAAAACUCAGCACUGAAAAGUCAAAAUCAGAAAAGAGUCAUCCUCUGAACAUCAAUGAUCUAAACGAGAGCGAUGAGAAGAAAAAGUGAAGAAAAAGUCACGUGUUCAAAGCUGAAGAAGACAGCAGCCAUGUUCCUGACAGAAGCUGGAUGUCUGCUUUUCAUUCUUUACAUAUCAGGAGUUCAGGGACAAACAAACAGCAUCUGUGGAUUUAAAGGUUCAUCAGUGAAUCUGAGCUGCUCUGCUGGAGAUUCAGCAGCAGACAAAGAAUAUAAAUGGUUCACUGUGUUCAAGAAUGCCUCAGGGAGUGACUUUCAUGAGGUUUUUGUGGAUGCAAACCAAAAAAAGUACAGAAUAUCUGAAGGGAGUCGUCCCACUCUGACCAUCAAUGAUCUAAACAAGAACGA